UACGUAGGGUGCAAGCGUUGUCCGGAAUUAUUGGGCGUAAAGAGCUCGUAGGCGGUUUGUUGCGUCGGCUGUGGAAACCUGAGGCUCAACCUCAGGCCUGCAGUCGAUACGAGCAGACUAGAGUGUUGCAGGGGAGACUGGAAUUCCUGGUGUAGCGGUGAAAUGCGCAGAUAUCAGGAGGAGCACCCGUAGCGAAGGCGGCACUCUGGGCCGAUACUGACACUGAGGAGCGAAAGCGUGGGGAGCGAACAGG
rnacentral:rRNA from 1 species